rnacentral:rRNA from 1 species
UGGCGCACGGGUGCGUAACGCGUAACUAACCUACCUAUAACUGGGGGAUAGCCCGCCGAAAGGCGGAUUAAUACCGCAUAAGCUAGCGAGGUGGCAUCACCUUAUUAGUAAAGAUUUAUUGGUUAUAGAUGGGGUUGCGGGUCAUUAGCUAGUUGGUUGGGUAAUGGCUGACCAAGGCGACGAUGACUAGGGGAGCUGAGAGGCUGGUCCCCCACACGGGCACUGAGAUACGGGCCCG